ACAAAGGCUCUCUUCAGAGCCAUUUGCCAAAAUGCAGGAAUUUGUCU
rfam:Sarcophilus harrisii ctg7180002483727, whole genome shotgun sequence.